rnacentral:rRNA from 1 species
UGGGCGUAAAGCGGGCGCAGACGGUUACUUAAGCAGGAUGUGAAAUCCCCGGGCUCAACCUGGGAACUGCGUUCUGAACUGGGUGACUAGAGUGUGUCAGAGGGAGGUAGAAUUCCACGUGUAGCAGUGAAAUGCGUAGAGAUGUGGAGGAAUACCGAUGGCGAAGGCAGCCUCCUGGGAUAACACUGACGUUCAUGCCCGAAAGCGUGGGUAGCAAACAGGAUUAGAUACCCUGGUAGUCCACGCCCUAAACGAUGUCGAUUAGCUGUUGGGCAGCUUGACUGCUUAGUAGCGUAGCUAACGCGUGAAAUCGACCGCCUGGGGAGUACGGUCGCAAGAUUAAAACUCAAAGGAAUUGACGGGGACCCGCACAAGCGGUGGAUGAUGUGGAUUAAUUCGAUGCAACGCGAAGAACCUUACCUGGUCUUGACAUGUACGGAACCCUCCAGAGACGGAGGGGUGCCUUCGGGAACCGUAACACAGGUGCUGCAUGGCUGUCGUCAGCUCGUGUCGUGAG